UAUUCCUAUCGUUAGAAGAUGAGAUUCUGCUUUUAAAACCAUUUAUUUAAUUCAAAAUAUUUAGUACAUACAGUUUAUAACCGUUCAUAAUUAAGGUCUUUUACGAUGCCUUUCUUACAGAUCCAGAGGUCUGGUUAGCCCUGACCAUUAUCCGAUCGCUAAGACGCUUGCACACUCCCUCAAAGCUCCGGACAGACUGCGCUAAGAGUGAACAAACUAACGAGUUCAUGACAUGAUCCAGGGAUCUGAUGCAACCACCCCCCAUUGUCAGUGUCCAGUUGGCCCUCAAAAUGCCGGGAUCUCUUGCAAGGUUCAUCAACACUUGGUAAGUUUUCACUCCAGGGGUAGAUCCUACGUCGGGCCUUUUGGUCCUGGCUAUGUCUCAAGGACAGCUGAGGCCAGCUCCUUAACUGUUCGCGAUUUUUGAAGAGAAUGUCCAGCUUAUUCAUAAGUGUUAUGAAAAUUGGAUAAUCCACCCAUUUAAAACUAAACACAGGAAUAAAAAAGUUUACAUCUUUGCAUGCUCUGGAAGCUACUGGAGAAUUGACAGACUUUGUAGCAUUACCCGCAUCAUAAACUUCACAGGCUAAAAUUGUCACUUUGUUGUCAGGGCUAUAGUCCAUUGAAGCAAUUCUUAGAGCCUUGAGAUCCCUGCCCCCGAAGACCUGUUCUU